AGGCGGCAGUCCGGGCCGGGAGGCGCGGGCAGGGCGAGGGAGCCAGGUAGAGUUGCUCGGGACACCCUCCUCCGUGCGCACACCCACUUCCCCUCCCGCUGCCGCCUUCGCCGCGCACGCUCCCGCUCCCGCCUGCGGACGCCCGGGGCCCAAGUGCAAGCCCCGAGCCCGCGGCAGCGCUCGGGAAACUUUGCCCGAGGAGAGGAGAGAAAAUUAAAAUCAGCCGAAGUUAAGAGCUGAACAUCCAAGUUGCAGCUCCGAAGCGGGCGAGGGGAAGGCGGGAGCGUGCGCGCGCGCGGCGAAGCGGGAUCCGGCCCAAGUCUGGAGGGUCGCGGGUCCGGAAGGGCAGCGCCGGGGCCUCCCGGAGCCCCGGAGGCCUGCCGGGAGGGGGUGGGGUCAGGGACGCGAGGCUGGGGCCCACGGGCCGGGAGGGCGCCCCCAAGGCCACGCCGGGAGUCUAGGAGCUGAGCACCCCGACCAGCCACUGGAUCUGAAUGCAACCGAAGCACCGAGUCCCCAGGUCCCUAGGGUCGCCGAGAGGGAGAGGGAGCCCGGGGCGGAGAAAUAAGGACCGAAGAGCCAGAGUCAGGGCGCUCUCCAGCCCCGGGAGGAGAGCUCUGGGGCCCGAGUCGAGGGAGGCGCGAAGGCGUCCACCUCCAAACGGCCGAGGGUCGAAGGACAAAGCACUGGCAGUCCCCGGAGUCCUGAUCCCCGGGCACGAGAUUCCGGGGCCGCGGGAGGUCCCCGAGCCGGGUCCCAGAAAGGGACACACCCCCCUCCCGUUCCAGAGCAACUGCAAAAACACGGAGGGAUGCAAAGAAAUAUUUCUUACGGGCAGAUCACAACUAUUGGUGUGCUGCUACCGGGGAAAGCGAAAAUGGGGAAGGGACAGAGAGUGGCUGGCUCUGGCUCGCAGGAGUAGCGGGGAGGCCACGGGGACCAGAUGACCGCCCCGGCCAGCGCAGCGCUCCCCGUACGCCGGCGGGCACCGCGCGCUGGCCGCAGCCCGCAGCCCCGGCUCGCCUUUCUGCAGACGUUGCCUGGAAAUUAGGGGAGACCUGUUGGAAAUAAACCCCUGUCUCUUUAAUGCACACGCACACGCGCGCGCGUUUCCGCUGUCAAAAAGCGGGCUUCACUCUGGCGUGGGAUACUUUCAGUUUUACGUAAAAUGUACAGCAACAGCACCCCCUGCGAUUGGAAAGUUUAUUCAGAAACGUGCUUGCAAAGUCCCCCGGCGGCUCCCGCCUCCCAGCCUCCCCUCCCGCCUGCACCACCCAGCCGCCGCCACCGCCGCCGCCGCCGCCGCCGGGGAGCCCGGGCUCCGAUUCCAAAUCCGGAAGGGCCGGGAGGGCAGAGGAAACGGACCGGAGUCCGAGGGCGGCGCGAGGGUGCAGGGUGGACACGGGUGGCCGCGGCCCGCGAGACCCCGAGCUGCAGGUGGACGCGUCCACGAAGCCACUCAAUGAAUAUCCCUGCGGGGGGAGGAGGGAAGGCUGAACUGCGUGGACCGCUGGAAGACAGAGAGAAGAAAGUGCGACCAGGAGGCCUUCGGGAAAAUAAAUAAAUAAAAUAAACGCCCCUUCCAGGUAACAAUAGUGAGCCAGGUUCUUUCAGAACCCAGCUUUUCAGAUCUGAAUUUUGUUCCCGUCCGUCCAUAAAAGUCCAUGCACAGAGAAGAUAGAUAAAUAAGUGAACUGUGUUCUGGAGAUACAUACUGUACGUGUGUGAUUUAUAUAUAAUGGUGUGUAUAUAGCUUUUCAGGGUUGGCGGUGGUGUAAAAAGUAAUGACUUUAUUACCUCUGAAAGGUUCUGUGGUUCACGUUUAACAGUCUCCUGAAUUACAAUUCAUUACACAAUCGUGUGCUCUCUAAAACCGGCACCCUAUCAGGGCCACUAUCUGUGGUUAUUUCCAAUAAAUAACUGGCAACACUUUAUUGAUUUUCUUUUUUAAAAAAAAUCAUAGGAAAUUAAGCACUUAGUUACAAGUAGGUCUGCUCGGUUACUGCACUUGUUUGAGAUUCCAGGGGGUUCCUUCCGAGACCACAUCUUAAAACAUACAUUAAAAAGCCAGCAUUGCAGCUGCUUUCCCUGGAUGCCAAAGGAGAGGUAAGCAGGGACGUUUCCACCAUUAACAUAUAUUUAAUUUCACCGUCAUAAAAUGCGCAGGGUGAAGGGAGAAGUGCCCUCCGUGCCCGCCCCUCCCCCAGCCGGAUUUCGCCAGCGCCGAGAGCCGGGGCUGAGCGUCGGCAUCUGAGCUCUGCUCGCCGACCCCCCCCCCCCAGCCCCUCGCGCUCUCGGGUACCCGCGACGCCCCCUCCUCUUCGCUGCUGGAGGCUCACUGCAGAGCCCAAAAGUGGGGGAGGGGGAGGGCUCGUACCCUGUGUUUAAAGAGGUAAAAAUGUGUUGUUUUAGGAGAUUUUAAAAUAUUACAUAAGUAUUGAUUAAUGAUGCAGGUGGUUUUGUAGAGGAGGUUGCAGGAUCACUUUAAACGCGCACACUUGGAUACACAAUAAGUAUAUUUACCUUUCGAGGAAUAGCUUUUGGAAAGUAAUAAAUUAUGACAACGUUAAAAUUAUGUUCUGGCCGGCCAGUUAACUUCGUUUGGGGCUGUGAAACCUUCGCUGCUGGCAUGGAGAGGGUAAUUACGCUCCGAGGGCUCUUUCCCAAACCUUUGGUGACGACACUCACUGCUAGCAAACUUGGGCCAGCCGGCGACCCCUCCCUUCUCCUCCCCCCUUUUUAUCUGGCCCGAGGAGGAGACUCCCCAGCACUUCCUGCAGUGUAUAUUCUGCCUCUGAUCUCCGUACUUAAUAGCCAAGUCCUGGUUUAUGCUUUAUAAUGUGUUGACAAGUUUUCUAACAGACUUUCUGAAAUAAUGCACAUAUAUUCACGUCGGUUAGAAACCCACCGUAUUUUUAGAGUCGAGUAGAUCUAUACCCUAAUGCAGUGAGAGCGUGUAAAUCAUAGAGGAUUUCAUAGUCCUUUCAGUAGUUUUCGGUAUGAAGUAUGAGCCGCGUGGCCUCCAGAAGUAACCUUUUAGAAAAAAAGACAGCGCUUUUAUUUUAUGGUGUAAAGUGCUUUUAGCUCUAGGGCUCUGAACGUGAAUGUGGUCAACAAACAACUCGAAGAAGGACUCUUAAUACAGUCCCAGCCCUCGUGUGGAGGAUCGCCUGGCCCGGGGACUUGGGCUGAGCUGGAGAAUGAAGGGUUAAAAGGCCUAUCUCGAUGAAAACUACAAGAUUAAAAUAAAAUAUUCACUGUCUGCCUUUAGGAGGAAACACUUUUAUAGACUUAAAUAAAUGAAUGACUGAUUUAAAAUACAA